UUUUCCGAGGAGCGCUGCGACAGGAGCAUAGCGAUCCUGCCAGGCUCGGGGAGGUGAACCGACUGAUAACGGCGCUCACUCUGC
rnacentral:ncRNA from 2 species